CCUACGGGAGGCAGCAGUGGGGAAUCUUCCGCAAUGGGCGAAAGCCUGACGGAGCAACGCCGCGUGAUCGAAUGAAGGCCUUCGGGUUGUAAAGAUCUGUUGACAGGGACGAAUAAGCAAUGCGAAUAGUUUUGUGUAUGACGGUACCUGUUUAGAAAGCUCCGGCUAACUACGUGCCAGCAGCCGCGGUAAUACGUAGGGAGCAAGCGUUGUCCGGAAUUACUGGGCGUAAAGGGCGCGUAGGUGGGCGCUUAAGUCAGGUGUGAAAACUCCGGGCUCAACCUGGAGACUGCACUUGAAACUGGGUGUCUUGAGGGCAGGAGAGGAAAGUGGAAUUCCUAGUGUAGCGGUGAAAUGCGUAGAUAUUAGGAGGAACACCAGUGGCGAAGGCGACUUUCUGGACUGUACCUGACGCUGAGGCGCGAAAGCGUGGGUAGCGAACGGGAUUAGAUACCCCAGUAGUC
rnacentral:rRNA from 1 species